GCUUACACAUGCAGUCGAGCGAUGAAAUCUUGACAGAACCCUUCGGGGCGAAGAUAAGAUGGAUUAGCGGCGGACGGGUGAGUAACACGUGAGUAACCUGCCUUAGACAUUGGGAUAGCCUCGGGAAACCGGGAUUAAUACCAAAUGAAAUCACAUAUGCACAUGCAUAAAUGAUCAAAGCUCCGGCGGUCUAAGAUGGACUCGCGUCCCAUUAGCUAGUUGGUGAGGUAACGGCCCACCAAGGCGACGAUGGGUAGCCGGCCUGAGAGGGUGAACGGCCACAUUGGAACUGAGAAACGGUCCAAACUCCUACGGGAGGCAGCAGUGGGGAAUAUUGCACAAUGGAGGGAACUCUGAUGCAGCGACGCCGCGUGAACGAAGAAGGCUUUCGAGUCGUAAAGUUCUUUUAUGUGGGAAGAUAAUGACGGUACCAUAAGAAAAAGCCCCGGCUAACCACGUGCCAGCAGCCGCGGUAAU
rnacentral:rRNA from 1 species